UACAGAGGGUGCGAGCGUUGUCCGGAAUCACUGGGCGUAAAGGGCGCGUAGGUGGCUCGUUAAGCGUGUGGUGAAAGCCUGGGGCUCAACCCCAGGUCUGCCGUGCGAACUGGCGAGCUUGAGCAGAGUAGAGGCGGGGUGGAAUUUCGGGUGUAGCGGUGGAAUGCGUAGAUAUCCGAAAGGACACCGGUGGCGAAGGCGGCCCGCUGGGCUCUUGCUGACACUGAUGCGCGACAGCGUGGGGAGCAAACAGG
rnacentral:rRNA from 1 species